rnacentral:rRNA from 1 species
AGUUUGAUCCUGGCUCAGGAUGAACGCUAGCGGCAGGCUUAAUACAUGCAAGUCGAACGGGAGAGAGUUAGCAAUAACUUUCGAGAGUGGCGCACGGGUGCGUAACGCGUAUGCAACCUACCUUUAACAGGGGGAUAGCCCGGAGAAAUUCGGAUUAAUACCCCAUAGUAUUUAUUUAAGGCAUCUUAGAUAGAUUAAAGCUGAGGCGGUUAAAGAUGGGCAUGCGUGCCAUUAGCUAGUUGGUGAGGUAACGGCUCACCAAGGCGACGAUGGCUAGGGGUUCUGAGAGGAUUAUCCCCCACACUGGUACUGAGACACGGACCAAACUCCUACGGGAGGCAGCAGUGAGGAAUAUUGGUCAAUGGGCGAGAGCCUGAACCAGCCAAGUCGCGUGAAGGAGGAAGGAUCUAUGGUUCGUAAACUUCUUUUUUAGGGGAAUAAAGUGCGGUACGUGUACCGUUUUGUAUGUACCCUACGAAUAAGGAUCGGCUAACUCCGUGCCAGCAGCCGCGGUAAUACGGAGGAUCCGAGCGUUAUCCGGAUUUAUUGGGUUUAAAGGGUGCGUAGGCGGAAGAAUAAGUCAGUGGUGAAAGUUUGCAGCUCAACUGUAAAAUUGCCGUUGAAACUGUUUUUCUUGAGUGUAAAUGAGGUAGGCGGAAUGUGUUGUGUAGCGGUGAAAUGCUUAGAUAUGACACAGAACACCGAUUGCGAAGGCAGCUUGCUAAGAUACAACUGACGCUGAGGCACGAAAGCGUGGGGAUCGAACAGGAUUAGAUACCCUGGUAGUCCAAUC